rnacentral:rRNA from 1 species
UGGGGAAUAUUGGACAAUGGGCGAAAGCCUGAUCCAGCCAUGCCGCGUGUGUGAAGAAGGUCUUCGGAUUGUAAAGCACUUUAAGUUGGGAGGAAGGGCAUUAACCUAAUACGUUAGUGUUUUGACGUUACCGACAGAAUAAGCACCGGCUAACUCUGUGCCAGCAGCCGCGGUAAUACAGAGGGUGCAAGCGUUAAUCGGAAUUACUGGGCGUAAAGCGCGCGUAGGUGGUUUGUUAAGUUGGAUGUGAAAUCCCCGGGCUCAACCUGGGAACUGCAUUCAAAACUGACUGACUAGAGUAUGGUAGAGGGUGGUGGAAUUUCCUGUGUAGCGGUGAAAUGCGUAGAUAUAGGAAGGAACACCAGUGGCGAAGGCGACCACCUGGACUAAUACUGACACUGAGGUGUGAAAGCGUGGGGAGCAAACA